UAAGGAAUAUUGGUCAAUGGACGCAAGUCUGAACCAGCCAUGCCGCGUGAAGGAUUAAGGUCCUCUGGAUUGUAAACUUCUUUUAUUUGGGACGAAAAAGGGCCUUUCUAGGCCAACUGACGGUACCAGAUGAAUAAGCACCGGCUAACUCCGUGCCAGCAGCCGCGGUAAUACGGAGGGUGCAAGCGUUAUCCGGAUUCACUGGGUUUAAAGGGUGCGUAGGCGGGUAGGUAAGUCAGUGGUGAAAUCCUGGAGCUCAACUCCAGAACUGCCAUUGAUACUAUUUAUCUUGAAUAUUGUGGAGGUAAGCGGAAUAUGUCAUGUAGCGGUGAAAUGCUUAGAUAUGACAUAGAACACCUAUUGCGAAGGCAGCUUACUACGCAUAUAUUGACGCUGAGGCACGAAAGCGUGGGGAUCAAACA
rnacentral:rRNA from 1 species